rnacentral:piRNA from 1 species
ACUAGGCUAAGGUCACUAACUGUUGCUGAC